rnacentral:tRNA from 1 species
GCCUGAGUGGCUCAGUAGGUUAAGCGUCUGACUUCAGUUCAGGUCAUGAUCUCACAGUUUGUGAGUUUGAGCCCCACGUCAGGCU